UCCCACGAAUCAAGGGAAGCCG
rnacentral:piRNA from 1 species